ACUAUGACAGUUGUCACUGACUUUGGGAAGUGUUGCCAACUAUUGUUUUGUUUGUGAAAAUCGCUAUUGGCUCCUUGUUUUGACGCUAGAAGUCGCUAGACUAUGUUUGGCCGUCGCCGCGUCGACGUCACAGCACCUAUUUGCCUUGGUGCAGAACAGAUGCGGUCCCCGACGUAGCGUUUUCGCACCCUCUCCCGCCGCACAUCUCCUCCACUUGUGCGUCCUUGCCUGUGUGUGGGACUUCUGUUGCACAGACAGCUUCUCCCGCUCUCGUUUGCGUCAGAAUUCGGGCCUGGCAUUCGUGUUGACCCCACUACCACCUCCACCAAGGGCCUGGGGGGGCCUCUGAGCUGCAUCAGCCGAGUGAGAACUCCCUGAGUGCCAGGCUCGACGUCUAGGAAACUGCCUGGCUCCAGGACACCAGGAAGGCCCGGUGCCCAAGCCCAGGCCAGGGCUCCUUUGUGUGGGUUUGGUUGCCUCGGAGAGCAGGGCGGCGCUGUGGAACUCAGUGAAGGAGUCUGGUCUGGAGCGGUGCUGAGACAGACAGGAAGCAGCCUGGGACAGGAAGCAGAAUCGCAGCGCCAUCGCCAGGGACAAAGAGGCGAGGAGGAACUGUAGCCAGCGCCAGCCCUGACGCACGUACUGGGCACGGAAAAAUGGAUGGAGAAGGAGAGAGAGAGAUGUAGGAGAGGUACCUGGCUGUGAGUCUUUCGCAACAGGAAGCAGAGGAGACACUGGAGAGGAAACACCAGGAUGGCAAUAGUCAUCCCCACUGCAACCGUUUCCCAGGUUACAAGCAACCGGGCCG